GGGUUGUGAGGUUAAGCGACUAAGCGUACACGGUGGAUGCCCUGGCAGUCAGAGGCGAUGAAGGACGUGCUAAUCUGCGAUAAGCGUCGGUAAGGUGAUAUGAACCGUUAUAACCGGCGAUUUCCGAAUGGGGAAACCCAGUGUGUUUCGACACACUAUCAUUAACUGAAUCCAUAGGUUAAUGAGGCGAACCGGGGGAACUGAAACAUCUAAGUACCCCGAGGAAAAGAAAUCAACCGAGAUUCCCCCAGUAGCGGCGAGCGAACGGGGAGCAGCCCAGAGCCUGAAUCAGUGUGUGUGUUAGUGGAAGCGUCUGGAAAGGCGCGCGAUACAGGGUGACAGCCCCGUACACAAAAAUGCACAUGCUGUGAGCUCGAUGAGUAGGGCGGGACACGUGGUAUCCUGUCUGAAUAUGGGGGGACCAUCCUCCAAGGCUAAAUACUCCUGACUGACCGAUAGUGAACCAGUACCGUGAGGGAAAGGCGAAAAGAACCCCGGCGAGGGGAGUGAAAAAGAACCUGAAACCGUGUACGUACAAGCAGUGGGAGCACGCUUAGGCGUGUGACUGCGUACCUUUUGUAUAAUGGGUCAGCGACUUAUAUUCUGUAGCAAGGUUAACCGAAUAGGGGAGCCGAAGGGAAACCGAGUCUUAACUGGGCGUUAAGUUGCAGGGUAUAGACCCGAAACCCGGUGAUCUAGCCAUGGGCAGGUUGAAGGUUGGGUAACACUAACUGGAGGACCGAACCGACUAAUGUUGAAAAAUUAGCGGAUGACUUGUGGCUGGGGGUGAAAGGCCAAUCAAACCGGGAGAUAGCUGGUUCUCCCCGAAAGCUAUUUAGGUAGCGCCUCGUGAAUUCAUCUCCGGGGGUAGAGCACUGUUUCGGCAAGGGGGUCAUCCCGACUUACCAACCCGAUGCAAACUGCGAAUACCGGAGAAUGUUAUCACGGGAGACACACGGCGGGUGCUAACGUCCGUCGUGAAGAGGGAAACAACCCAGACCGCCAGCUAAGGUCCCAAAGUCAUGGUUAAGUGGGAAACGAUGUGGGAAGGCCCAGACAGCCAGGAUGUUGGCUUAGAAGCAGCCAUCAUUUAAAGAAAGCGUAAUAGCUCACUGGUCGAGUCGGCCUGCGCGGAAGAUGUAACGGGGCUAAACCAUGCACCGAAGCUGCGGCAGCGACGCUUAUGCGUUGUUGGGUAGGGGAGCGUUCUGUAAGCCUGCGAAGGUGUGCUGUGAGGCAUGCUGGAGGUAUCAGAAGUGCGAAUGCUGACAUAAGUAACGAUAAAGCGGGUGAAAAGCCCGCUCGCCGGAAGACCAAGGGUUCCUGUCCAACGUUAAUCGGGGCAGGGUGAGUCGACCCCUAAGGCGAGGCCGAAAGGCGUAGUCGAUGGGAAACAGGUUAAUAUUCCUGUACUUGGUGUUACUGCGAAGGGGGACGGAGAAGGCUAUGUUGGCCGGGCGACGGUUGUCCCGGUUUAAGCGUGUAGGCUGGUUUUCCAGGCAAAUCCGGAAAAUCAAGGCUGAGGCGUGAUGACGAGGCACUACGGUGCUGAAGCAACAAAUGCCCUGCUUCCAGGAAAAGCCUCUAAGCAUCAGGUAACAUCAAAUCGUACCCCAAACCGACACAGGUGGUCAGGUAGAGAAUACCAAGGCGCUUGAGAGAACUCGGGUGAAGGAACUAGGCAAAAUGGUGCCGUAACUUCGGGAGAAGGCACGCUGAUAUGUAGGUGAAGUCCCUCGCGGACGGAGCUGAAAUCAGUCGAAGAUACCAGCUGGCUGCAACUGUUUAUUAAAAACACAGCACUGUGCAAACACGAAAGUGGACGUAUACGGUGUGACGCCUGCCCGGUGCCGGAAGGUUAAUUGAUGGGGUUAGCGCAAGCGAAGCUCUUGAUCGAAGCCCCGGUAAACGGCGGCCGUAACUAUAACGGUCCUAAGGUAGCGAAAUUCCUUGUCGGGUAAGUUCCGACCUGCACGAAUGGCGUAAUGAUGGCCAGGCUGUCUCCACCCGAGACUCAGUGAAAUUGAACUCGCUGUGAAGAUGCAGUGUACCCGCGGCAAGACGGAAAGACCCCGUGAACCUUUACUAUAGCUUGACACUGAACAUUGAGCCUUGAUGUGUAGGAUAGGUGGGAGGCUUUGAAGUGUGGACGCCAGUCUGCAUGGAGCCGACCUUGAAAUACCACCCUUUAAUGUUUGAUGUUCUAACGUUGACCCGUGAUCCGGGUUGCGGACAGUGUCUGGUGGGUAGUUUGACUGGGGCGGUCUCCUCCUAAAGAGUAACGGAGGAGCACGAAGGUUGGCUAAUCCUGGUCGGACAUCAGGAGGUUAGUGCAAUGGCAUAAGCCAGCUUGACUGCGAGCGUGACGGCGCGAGCAGGUGCGAAAGCAGGUCAUAGUGAUCCGGUGGUUCUGAAUGGAAGGGCCAUCGCUCAACGGAUAAAAGGUACUCCGGGGAUAACAGGCUGAUACCGCCCAAGAGUUCAUAUCGACGGCGGUGUUUGGCACCUCGAUGUCGGCUCAUCACAUCCUGGGGCUGAAGUAGGUCCCAAGGGUAUGGCUGUUCGCCAUUUAAAGUGGUACGCGAGCUGGGUUUAGAACGUCGUGAGACAGUUCGGUCCCUAUCUGCCGUGGGCGCUGGAGAACUGAGGGGGGCUGCUCCUAGUACGAGAGGACCGGAGUGGACGCAUCACUGGUGUUCGGGUUGUCAUGCCAAUGGCACUGCCCGGUAGCUAAAUGCGGAAGAGAUAAGUGCUGAAAGCAUCUAAGCACGAAACUUGCCCCGAGAUGAGUUCUCCCUGACUCCUUGAGAGUCCUGAAGGAACGUUGAAGACGACGACGUUGAUAGGCCGGGUGUGUAAGCGCAGCGAUGCGUUGAGCUAACCGGUACUAAUGAACCGUGAGGCUUAACCUUACAACGCCGAAGGUGUUU
rnacentral:rRNA from 1 species